rnacentral:rRNA from 1 species
UACGGAGGGUGCGAGCGUUGUUCGGAAUCACUGGGCGUAAAGCGCGUGUAGGCGGCCCACUAAGUCUGAUGUGAAAGCCCGGGGCUCACCCCCGGAAGUGCAUUGGAAACUGGUGGACUCGAGUGCCCGGAGACGGAGAGUGGAAUUCCUGGUGUAGCGGUGAAAUGCGUAGAUAUCGAGGAGGAACACCGGUGGCGAAGGCGGCUCUCGUGGAGCCGACACUGACGCUGAGGCGCGAAAGCCAGGGAG